GGGUCAGUAGGUUGGUCGUGCCACCGGUACGUACUGGUCUCACUGACUCCUCCUUCCUGAAGAACCGUAAUGCCAUUAAUUUAGUGUUGCGGGGAAACAGGACUGUUACUUUGAAAAAAUUAGAGUGUUUAAAGCAAGCUAACGCUUGAAUACAUUAGCAUGGAAUAAUGAAAUAGGACGAUCGAUCCUAUUUUGUUGGUUUCUAGGAUUGACGUA
rnacentral:rRNA from 1 species